rnacentral:rRNA from 1 species
UACAGAGACUGCAAGCGUUAUUCGGAUUCACUGGGCGUAAAGGGUGCGCAGGCGGUUGGGUGUGUCAGAUGUGAAAUCCCGAGGCUCAACCUCGGAACUGCGUCUGAAACUACUCGACUAGAGUACUGGAGAGGGUAACGGAAUUCACGGUGUAGCAGUGAAAUGCGUAGAUAUCGUGAGGAACUCCAGAGGCGAAGGCGGGUCUCUGGGCCGAUACUGACGCUGAGGAGCGAAAGCGUGGGGAGCGAACAGG